rnacentral:rRNA from 1 species
UGUUGGUGGGGUAACGGCUCACCAAGGCGACGAUCCCUAGCUGGUCUGAGAGGAUGACCAGCCACACUGGAACUGAGACACGGUCCAGACUCCUACGGGAGGCAGCAGUGGGGAAUAUUGCACAAUGGGCGCAAGCCUGAUGCAGCCAUGCCGCGUGUAUGAAGAAGGCCUUCGGGUUGUAAAGUACUUUCAGCGGGGAGGAAGGGAGUAAAGUUAAUACCUUUGCUCAUUGACGUUACCCGCAGAAGAAUCACCGGCUAACUCCGUGCCAGCAGCCGCGGUAAUACGGAGGGUGCAAGCGUUAAUCGGAAUUACUGGGCGUAAAGCGCACGCAGGCGGUUUGUUAAGUCAGAUGUGAGAUCUCCGGGCUCAACCUGGGAACUGCAUCUGAUACUGGCAAGCUUGAGUCUCGUAGAGGGGGGUAGAAUUCCAGGUGUAGCGGUGAAAUGCGUAGAGAUCUGGAGGAAUACCGGUGGCGAAGGCGGCCCCCUGGACGAAGACUGACGCUCAGGUGCGAAAACGUGGGGAGCAAAACAGGAUAGAUACCCUGGUAGUCCACGCCGUAAACGAUGUCGACUUGGAGGGUGUGCCCUUGAGGCGUGGCUUCCGGAGCUAACGCGUUAAAGUCGACCGCCUGGGGAGUACGGCCCGCAAGGUUAAAACUCAAAUGAAUUGACGGGGGCCCGCACAAGCGGUGGAGCAUGUGGUUUAAUUCGAUGCAACGCGAAGAACCUUACCUGGUCUUGACAUCCACGGAAGUUUUCAGAGAUGAGAAUGUGCCUUCGGGAACCGUGAGACAGGUGCUGCAUGGCUGUCGUCAGCUCGUGUUGUGAAAUGUUGGGUUAAGUCCCGCAACGAGCGCAACCCUUAUCCUUUGUUGCCAGCGGUCCGGCCGGGAACUCAAAGGAGACUGCCAGUGAUAAACUGGAGGAAGGUGGGGAUGACGUCAA